CUUAAAUUUCAGUUCUAGCGUCCAGCAAUACUAAAACACACACACGCAAAGUACGUGAGAAUGCGUGUGCACCCAUACAUUCAAAUAUGCUAAAGGCACAACAGAAAACAGAAAUUAGCAUCAUCAUCAAUUAAAAAAGAAGCAUAGUCCAACAAUGUAUAAUUUUAACGUCAAAAAUAGAUAAAUAUGCAGACUAAUUUAAAUUUUCCAAUCCGUGUUUUGCACACCGGAAUCAUCUGCUUAAUCAGGAAUCAACAUGCAAAAAUCGCAAAGAAACGUGUGGUCUUGGAACAUCAAAAAUGGAUGGUGGACUAACUGGGAAAUGAAUGGAGGAUGGCCGUCAGUGUGAAUAGCCUAUUAGUACACAUUUUGUCAGCAGCCUUGAAUCGUUCCGUGUAAUUUUGGCUGGAAAACAUUUGACGCAAGCGCAGUAGUUUUUAAAUAUGGACUGUGUAAAAUGUUUAACAUAUAUUAGUAUACAAAAUACAGUCAGCAAUGCCAAUGCUAAAACGGGUGUUCCCAAACGUGCUGUACAUAUUGUAUUACAAAAUCUUGACAAAAUAAAACUAAACAACAAAAAAUGUUCUUUUAAUUGUAUAAACAUAUCUAAAUAAAUAUAGGAAUAUACAAAAUUG